AUGAACGCUGGCGGCGUGUCUAAGGCAUGCAAGUCGUAAGGCGGUAGCAAUACCGGCUUGGCAAACGGGAGCGGAACACAUUGGCAACUUACCUUAAGGACGAGUAUAACCCCGAGAAAUCGGGGAUAAUUCUCGAUGAGAUUGAGAGGACAAAUGUCAUUCUCAAUUAAAGCAGCAAUGCGCCUUAAGAGAGGCCUAUGUCCUAUCAGCUAGUUGGUGAGGUAAUGGCUCACCAAGGCUACGACGGGUACCGGGUGUGAGAGCAUGACCCGGCUCACUGGGACUGAGACACUGCCCAGACUCCUACGGGAGGCUGCAGUCAAGAAUCUUCCUCAAUGCCCGCAAGGGUGAAGGAGCGACGCCGCGUGUAUGAAGAAGCCCCUCGGGGUGUAAAGUACUUUUAACUGGGAAAAAUAAAUGAUGGUACCAGUUGAAUAAGGAGCUGCUAACCUCGU
rnacentral:rRNA from 1 species